AACGAACGCUGGCGGCAUGCCUAACACAUGCAAGUCGAACGAAACCUUCGGGUCUAGUCGCGCACGUCGGCGUAACACGGGGGGACCUGCACGUAGGUUAGGACUACCUCCCCGAAUGGGGUGCUAAUACCAGACAAUGUCUUCUGACCAAAGAUUUAUCGCCUGUGGAUGGGCCCUCGUUGGAUUAGCUAGUUGGGAUGGUAAAAGCCUACCAAGGCCAAGAUACGUAGAUGGUAUGAGAGGAUGAUCCGCCACACUGGGGCUGAGACACGGACCAGCCACAUACGGAAGGAAGGAGUGGGGAACAUAGGAGCAUGGGCGCAAGACUGAUCCAGCAAUGCCGGGUGAGUGAUGAAGGCCUUAGGGUUGUAAAGUUAUGUGAAACGGGAUGAUAAUGACGGUACCGGGAGAAUAAGCUACGGCUAACUACGUG
rnacentral:rRNA from 1 species